UGUGCAAACUCAACAAAACCAUCCACAUCAAGCUCAGCCCACGUGCUUCCAAGAGGCAACCUUUACCUUACACUUUGCCAAGAAUUAUUUCACCUGUGUUGUUUCACUUUUCGCAAUAACCCCGUGAAGAAAGUAGGAUGACUUCUUAUGUGUGGCUACAGAAUCCAUGAAGGAUUAGAAGACUAAUGUAAUAGAAGACUGCAAUGACAGGGUUAAGUCCCAUUUAGAAAAGAUAAUUGACUUUCCUGUACCUAUUCAUAAGAAGAGGGCCUCAAUUCAAAGUCCCCAAAGUGGGGAAGCAAUCAAGGCUGGACUUUAGUUCCACCACAUUGGUCAGAGACCUCCACUAUGCAGUUUUCUGGAGGAAAGGCUGCCCUUUGAUUUACAGGUUGUUUCCUUUUCCCUAGAAAAUGAAGCCAUCUCUAGGCAGGGUCCUGGGUUAAGAUUUCACUAGUCAAUGCACCUUGUACUUAUGAAUAUGUGUUUGAAGGAAUG
rnacentral:lncRNA from 10 species